rnacentral:rRNA from 1 species
UAGCGUAUAUUAAAGUUGUUGCGUUUAAAAAGCUCGUAGUUGGAUCUGCGCCUUAGGUUUGCGGUCCCCUAACGGGAGGUACUGCUUUACCUGGGCUUAUCCUCUGGUUUUCCCUUGGUGCUCUUUACCGAGUGCUCUGGGUGACUGGAACUUUUACUUUGAAAAAAUUAGAGUGCUCAAAGCAGGCGGUCAGCCUGAAUAGUGGUGCAUGGAAUAAUAGAAUAGGACUUCGGUUUUAUUUUGUUGGUUUUCGGAACAGAAGUAAUGAUUAAGAGGGACAGACGGGGGCAUUCGUAUUGCGACGUU